CAUUCUUGAUCUCUGGAAGCAGUCAUUAUUAUGAGGAUCAUUUUACUUUGAAAACACUUUCAUAAUAAAGAUAAGUCUUAAGAGUACAGUGUAAAUGCCCUUUUCUGUAAGCACUACUGAACUUGUAUUGGUAAUGUGCCACAUCUUCCUGGACAAGAUUCAUUUCAGUGUUCACAUCAUCCUACAGUUUUCUUGUAAGCCUCCUCAAAUCCCAGAGUCGCUAUGAUUAUGAAAAAGGAAUGUAGUAUUUAUACGUUAUAUAUAUACAUAUAUAU
rnacentral:lncRNA from 1 species